UACGUAGGGUGCGAGCGUUGCCCGGAUUUAUUGGGCGUAAAGGGCGCGUAGGCGGUCAGGCACGUCCGUUGUGAAAUCUCUCGGCUCAACUGGGCGGGGUCAGCGGAUACGGCGUGGCUGGAGCAAGCUAGGGGGCAAUGGAAUUCCCGGUGUAGUGGUGGAAUGCGUAGAUAUCGGGAGGAACACCAGUGGCGAAGGCGGUUGCCUGGAGCUUUGCUGACGCUGAUGCGCGAAAGCGUGGGGAGCGAUCCGG
rnacentral:rRNA from 1 species